rnacentral:rRNA from 1 species
UACGGAGGGUGCAAGCGUUAAUCGGAAUUACUGGGCGUAAAGCGCACGUAGGUGGUUUGUUAAGUCAGCUGUGAAAUCCCCGGGCUCAACCUGGGCACUGCAGUUGAAACUGGCAAGCUAGAGUAGGGUAGAGGGGUGUGGAAUUCCAGGUGUAGCGGUGAAAUGCGUAGAUAUCAGGAGGAAUACCGGUGGCGAAAGCGACUCUCUGGACGGCAACUGACGCUGAGGCACGAAAGCGUGGGGAGCAAACAGG